GUUGUGUUUGAACUUGAGUUUGUGGCGUUUGUUGAACUUGAGUUUCUGUUGUUUUUGAACUUGAAUUUGUGUCGUGUUUGAACUUGAGUUUGUGGCGUUUGUUGAAUUUGAGUUUGUGUCGUGUCUGAACUUGAGUUUGUGGUGUUUUUGAACUUGAGUUUUCUGGUGUUUUUGAACUUGAGGGUGUGGAAUUUGUUAAACUUGAGAAUUGGGUAUUGGUUUAACUUGAGUUUGUGUGUUUGUUGAACUUGAGUUUGUGUCAAGUUUGAACUUGAGUUUGUGGUGUUUUUUAACUUGAUUUUGUGUGUUUGUUGAACUUGAGUUUGUGUUUGAACUUGAGUUUGUGGUGUUUUUGAACUUGAGUUUGUGUCGUGUUUUGAACUUGAGGUAUUGGAAAUUGUUAAACCUUUGAAUCAGGUGUUGGUUGAACUUGAGUUUGUGUGUUUGUUGAACUUGAGUUUGUGUCAUAUUUGAACUUUAGCUUGUGGUGUUUUUGAACUUGAGUUUGUGUGUUUGAACUUGAGGUUGUGGUGUUUUUGGACUUGAGUUUGUGUCGUGUUUAAACUUGAGGGUGUGGAAUUUGUUUAACUUGACAAUUUGGUAUUGGUUGAACUUGAGUUUGUGGGGUUUUUCUGAACUUGAGUUUGUGGAAAUUGUUUAACUUGAGAAUCAGGUGUUGGAUGAACUUGAGUUAGUGUUUGUUGAACUUGAGUUUGUGUUGUGUUGGAACUUAAGUUUUUGGUGUUUUUGAUCUUGAGUUUAUGUGCUUGUUGAACUUGAGUUUGUGUUUUUUUUUAACUUGAGUUUGUUUCAUGUUUGAACUUGAGUUUUUGGUGUUUUUGAACUUGAAUUUUUGGUGUUUUUGAAAUUGAGCUUGUGGAAGUUGUUAAACUUGAGAAUUGGGUAUUGGUUGAACUUGAGUUUUUUGUGUUUUUGAACUUGAGUUUGUGUCGUGUUUGAACUUGAGUUUAUGGUGUUUUUGAACUUGAGUUUGUGGUGUUUUUGAACUUGAGGUUGUGGAAAUUGUUAAACUUGAGAAUUGGGUAUUGGUUGAACUGAUUUUUUUGUGUUUUUGAUCUUGAUUUUGUGUUGUGUUUGAACUUGAGUUUAUGGGUUUUUUUAACUUGAAUUUGCAUGUUUGGUGAACUUGAGUUUUCGUGUUUGUUUGAACUUGAGUUUCUGUUUUUUUGAACUUGAGUUUUUGGUGGUCUUGAGCUUGAGGUUGUGGAAAUUGUUAAACCUUAUAAUCGGGUAUUGGUUGAACUUGAGUUUGUUUGUUUUUUGAACUUGAGUUUGUGGUGUGUUUGAACUUGAGUUUGUGGUGUUUAUGAACUUGAGUUUGUGUGUUUGUUUAACUUGAGUUUGUGUUGUUUUUGAACUUGAGUUUUUGGUGGUCUUGAACUUGAGGUUGAGGAAAUUGUUAAACUUGAGAAUUGGGUAUUGGUUGAACUUGCGUUUUUUGUGUUUUUAAAUUGGGUUUGUGUAGUGUUUGAACCUGAGUUUGUGGUGUUUUUGAACUUGAAGUUGUGUUUAUUUUUAACUUGAGGGUGUGAAAUUUUUUAAAGUUGAGAAUCGGGUUUUGGUUGAACUUGAGUUUGUGGUGUUUUUGAACUUGAGUUUGUCCGUGUUAGAACUUGAGUUUUUGGCGUUUGUUGAACUUGAGUUUCUGUUGUUUUUGAACUUGAGUUUGUGUCGUGUUUGAACUUGAGUUUGUGUGUUUGUUGAACUUGAGUUUGUGUUAUGUUUGAACUUGAGUUUGUGUCGUGUAUGAACUUGAGUUUGUGUCGUGUUUUUGAACUUGAGUUUUUGGUGUUUUUGAACUUGAGGGUGUGGAAUUUGUUAAACUUGAGAAUUGGGUAUUGGUUGAAUUUGAGUUUGUGUGUUUGUUGAAAUUGAGUUUGUGUCAUGUUUGAACUUGAGUUUGUGGUCUUUUUGAACUUGAGUUUGUGUGUUUGUUGAACUUGAGUUGUGGCGUUUUUUUAAACUCUAGGUUGUGGCAAUUGUUAAACUUGAGAUUUGGUUGUUGGUUGAACUUGAGUUUGUGUCGUGUUUGAACUUGAGUUCGUGUUGUUUGUUGAACUUGAAUUUGUGUGUUUUUUGAACUUAAUUUUUUGAACUUGAGUUUGUGGCAAUUGUUGAACUUGAGUCUGUGGUUUUUGGUGAACUUUAAUUGGUGGUGUUUUUGAACUUGAGUUUUUGGUGUUUUUGAACUUGAGUUUGUUUCGGGUUUGAACUUUGUUUGUGGUGUUUUUGAACUUGAGUUUUUGAUGUUUUUGAACUUGAGGGUGUGUUGUGUUUUUGAACUUGAGUUUGUGGUGUUUUUGAACUUGAGUUUGUUUCGUGUUUGAACUUGAGUUUGUGGCGUUUGUUGAACUCUAGGUUGUGGCAAUUGUUGAACUUGAGAUUUGGGUGUUGGUUCAACUUAAAAGUUUGGCAUUUGUUGAACAUGAGUUUGUGUGUUUGUUGAACUUAAGUUUGUGUCUUGUUUGAACUUAAGUUUGUGUCUUGUUUGAACUUGAGUUUGUGGUGUUUUCAAACUUGAGUUUUUGGUGUCUUUGAACUUGAGUUUUUGGUGUUUUUGAACUUGAGUUUGAAUCGUGUUUGAACUUGAGUUUGUGGUGUUUUUGAACUUGAGUUUGUGGUGUUUUUGAACUUGAGGUGUUGGAAAUUGUGAAACUUGAGAAUUGGGUAUUGGUUGAACUUGAGUGUGUUUUUUGAACUUGAGGUUGUGGUGUUUUUGAACUUGAGUUUGUGGUGUUUUGUACUUGAGUUUGUGUUAUUUUUCAACUUGAGGUUGUGGAACUUGUUAAACUUGAGAAUCAGGUGUUGAUUGAACUUGAGUAUUUGUUUUUUUUUAACUUGAGUUUGUGUCGUGUUUGAGCUCGAGUUUGUGGUGUUUUUGAAUUUGAGUUUGCGUGUUUGUUAAACUUGAGUUUGUGUUUUUUUUAACUUGAGUUUGUUGUUUCUGAACUUGAGUUUGUGGCAAUUGUUUAACUUGAGUUUGACAUUUGUUGAACUUGGGUUUGUGGUUUUUGUUGAACUUGAGUUUGUGGUGUUUUUGAACUUGAGGUUGUGGAAUUUGUUAAACUUGAGAAUUGGGUAUUGGUUGAAAUUGAGUUUGUGUGUUUGUUGAACUUGAGUUUGUGUCGUGUUUGAACUUGAGUUUAUGGUUUUUUUGAACUUGAGUUUGUGGUGUUUUUGAACUUGAGGUUUUUAGAAAUUGUUGAACUUGAAAAUUUGGUAUUGGAUGAACUUGAGUUUGUGUGUUUGUUGAACUUGAGUUUGUGUCGUGUUUGAACUUUGGUUUGUGGUGUUUUUUGAGCCUGAGGUUUGUGGUGUUUUUGAACUUGAGUUUGUGUUGCUUUUGAACUUUAGGUUGUGGCAAUUUCUAAAAUUGAGAUUUGGGUGUUGGUUGAACUUAAAAGUUUGUCAUUUGUUGAACUUGAGUUUGUGGUUUUUGUUGAACUUGAGUUUGUGUCGUGUUUGAACUGUAGGUUGUGGUUUUUUUGAGCUCGAGUAUUUGUGAUUGUUGAACUUAAGUUUUUGGUGUGUUUGAACUUGAGUUUGUGUUUUUUUUUAAGUUGAGGUUGUGGUUUUUUGAACUUCAGUUUGUGGAAAUUGUUAAACUUGAGGAUUGGGUGGUGGUUGAACUUGAGUUUGUGGUGUUUUUAGAACUUGAGGUUGUGGUGUUUUUGACUUGAGUUCGUGGCGUGUUUGAACUUCAGUUUGUGGAAAUUGUUAAACUUGAGGAUUGGGUGUUGGUUGAACUUGAGUUUGUGGUGUUGUUUGAACUUGAGUUUGUGGUGUUUUUUGAGCUUGAGGUUGUGGUGUUUUUGAGCUUGAGUUUGUGGCAUGUUUGAACUUGAGGUUGUGGAAAAAUGUAAACUUGAGAUUUGGGUGUUGAUUGAAGUUGAGUUUGUUUCGUGUUUGAUCUUGAGGUUGUGGUGUUUUUGAACUUGAGGUUUCUUGUUUGUUUAACUUGAGUUUGUGUGUUUUUUGAACUUGAGUUUGUUGUUUCUGAACUUGAGGUUUUGGCAAUUGUUGAACUUGAGUCUGUGGUUUUUAGUGAACUUUAGUUGGUUGCAAUUGUUGAACAUGAGUUUAUGGCGUUUGUUGAACUUGAGUUUGUGACGUGGAUGAACUUGAGUUUGUGUUAUUUUUGAACUUGAGGUUGUGGCAAUUUCUAAAAUUGAGAAUUGGGUGUUGGUUGAACUCAAAAGUUUGACAUUUGUUGAACUUGAGUGUGGUUUUUGUUGAACUUGAGUUUGUUUCGUGUUUGAACUUGAGGUUGUGGUGUUUUUGAACUUGAGGUUUCUUGUUUGUUUAACUUGAGUUUUUGGCGUGUUUGAACUUGAGUUUGUGGUUUUUUUAACUUGAGGUUGUGGUUUUUUGAACUUCAGUUUGUGGAAAUUUUUAAAAUUGAGGAUUGGGUGGUGGUUGAACUUGAGUUUGUGGUGUUUUUUUAACUUGAGGUUGUGGUGUUUUUGACUUGAGUUCGUGGCGUGUUUGAACUUGAGGUUGUUGCAAUUGUUAAACUUGAGAUUUGGGUGUAUGUUGAACUCCAGUUUGUGUUGUGUUUGAACUUGAGGUUGUGGUAUUUUUGAAUUGAGUUUGUGGCGGUUUUUGAACUUGAGUUUGUGGCGUGUUUGAACUUGAGAUUGUGGCGUGUUUGAACUUGAGUUUGUGGUGGUUUUUGAACUUGAGGUUGUGAAAAUUGUUAAAACUUGAGAAUUAGGUGUUGGUUGAACUUGAGUUUGUGGGGUUUUUUUAGCUUGAGUUUGUGGUUUUUGUUGAACUUGAGUUUGUGUCGUUUUUGAGCUUGAGGUUGUGGUGUUUUUAAACUUGAGUUUGCGUGUUUGUUUAACUUGAGUUUGUGUGUUUUUUUAACUUGAGUUUGUUGUUUCUGAAGUUGAGGUUUUGGCAAUUGUUGAACUUGAGUCUGUUGUUUUUAGUGAACUUUAGUUGGUGGCAAUUGUUGAACUUGAGUUUGUGGCAUUUGUUAAACUUGAGUUUGUGACGUGUUUAAACAUGAUUUUGUGGUGUUUUUGAACUCGAGUUUGUGGUAUUGGUUGAACUUGAGGUUGUGGAAAUUGUUAAACUUGAGAAUUGGGUAUUGGUUGAACUUUAGUUUGUGUGUUUGUUGAACUUGAGUUUGUGUCGUGUUUGAACUUCAGUUUGUGGUGUUUUUGAACUCGAGUUUUUGUGUUUAUUGAACUUCAGUUUGUGUCGUGUUUGAACUUGAGUUUGUGGUGUUUUUUGAACUUGAGGUUGUGUGUUUUUUUGAACUUGAGUUUGUGGCGGUUUUUGAACUUGAGGUUGUGGCAAUUGUUGAACUUGAGUUUGUGACGUGUUUGAACUUGAUUUUGUGGUGUUUUUGAACUUGAGUUUGUGGUGUUUUUGAACUUGAGUUCGUGGUGUUUGUGGAAUUUGAGUUUGUGUCCUGUUUGAACUUGAGGUUGUGGUGUUUUUCAACUCGAGUUUUUGUGUUUGUUGAACUUCAGUUUGUGUCGUGUUUGAACUUGAGUUUGUGGUGUUUUUUGAACUUGAGUUUGUGGUGUUUUUUGAACUUGAGGUUGUGGUGUUUUUGAACUUGAGUUUGAGGCGGUGUUUGAACUUGAGGUUGUUGCAAUUGUUAAACUUGAGAUUCGGGUGUUGGUUGAACUUAAAACUUUGCCAUUUGUUGAACUUGAGUUUGUGGUGUAUGUUGAACUCCAGCUUGUGUUGUGUUUGAACCUGAGUUUGUGGCGGUUUUUGAACUUGAGUUUGUGGCGUGUUUGAACUUGAGAUUGUGGCGUGUUUGAACUUGAGUUUGUGGUGGUUUUUGAACUUGAGGUUGUGAAAAUUGUUAAAACUUGAGAAUCAGGUGUUGGUUGAACUUGAGUUUGUGGUUUUUGUUGAACUUGAGUUUGUGGUUUUUGUUGAACUUGAGUUUGUGUCGUGUUUGAACUUGAGGUUGUGGUGUUUUUGAACUUGAGGUUUCUUGUUUGUUUAACUUGAGUUUGUGUGUUUUUUGAACUUGAGUUUGUUGUUUCUGAACUUGAGGUUUUGGCAAUUGUUGAACUUGAGUCUGGUUUUUAGUGAAAUUUAGUUGGUUGCAAUUGUUGAACAUGAGUUUAUGGCGUUUGUUGAACUUCAGUUUGUGACGUGGAUGAACUUGAGUUUGUGUUAUUUUUGAACUUGAGGUUGUGGCAAUUUCUAAAAUUGAGAAUUGGGUGUUGGUUGAACUUAAAAGUUUGACAUUUGUUGAACUUGAGUUUGUGUGUUUGUUGAACUUGAGUUUGUGUCGUGUUUGAACUUGAGGUUGUGGUUUUUUUGAACUCGAGUUUUUGUGUUUGUUGAACUUCAGUUUGUGGAAAUUUUUAAACUUGAGGAUUGGGUGGUGGUUGAACUUGAGUUUGUGGUGUUUUUUGAACUUGAGGUUGUGGUGUUUUUGACUUGAGUUCGUGGCGUGUUUGAACUUGAGGUUGUCGCAAUUGUUAAACUUGAGAUUUGGGUGUUGGUUGAACUUAAAACUUUGCCAUUUGUUGAACUUGAGUUUGUGGUGUAUGUUGAACUCCAGCUUGUGUUGUGUUUGAACUUGAGGUCGUGGUAUUUUUGAAUUGAGUUUGUGGAGGUUUUUGAACUUGAGUUUGUGGCGUGUUUGAACUUUAGAUUGUGGCGUGUUUGAACUUGAGUUUGUGGUGGUUUUUGAACUUGAGGUUGUGAAAAUUGUUAAAACUUGAGAAUCAGGUGUUGGUUGAACUUGAGUUUGUGGUUUUUGUUGAACUUGAUUUUGUGCUUUGAUUGAACUUUAGUUUAUGUUUUUUUUGUACUUGAGUUUGUGUUGUUUUUGAACUUGAGGUUGUGGAAAUUGUAAAAACUUGAGAAUCAGGUGUUGGUUGACUUGAGUUUGUGGUUUUUGUUGAACUUGAGUUUGUGUGUUUUUUUAACUUGAGUUUGUUGUUUCUGAACUUGAGGUUUUGGCAAUUGUUGAACUUGAUAAUUGGGUAUUGGUUGAACUUGAGUUUGUGUGUUUGUUGAACUUGAGUUUGUGUCGUGUUUGAACUUCAGUUUGUGGUGUUUUUUGAACUUGAGGUUGUGGUGUUUUUGAACUUGAGUUUUUGGUGUUUUUGAACUUGAGGUUGUGGCAAUUGUUGAACUUCAGUUUGUGACGUGUUUGAACUUGAUUUUGUGGUGUUUUUGAACUCGACUUUGUUUUGUUUUUGAACUUGAGUUCGUGGUGUUUGUUGAACUUGAGUUUGUGUCGUGUUUGAACUUGAGGUUGUGGUGUUUUUGAACUCGAGUUUUUGUGUUUGUUGAACUUCAGUUUGUGUCGUGUUUGAACUUGAGUUUGUGGUGUUUUUUGAACUUGAGGUUGUGGUGUUUUUGAACUUGAGUUUGUGGCGGUUUUUGAACUUGAGGUUGUUGCAAUUGUUGAACUUGAAAUAAAAACCCAAAUAUGAACCCAAAUAUAUAUUUUUUCUUUUUACAUUUUUUUGGUGUAACCAACUCCAAAAGGUCUUAAACAUGUUCCUAAAAAGGUUUUGGACAGUGAUUUUAACCCUAACACCAAAAACCUUAAACCUUACCCUAGCCCCAAAACCUAAUACCCGGGUAUUACCUUCAGGAAGCCCGAACACCCCAAAUAUUUUUUUUUCUUUUUUUUUUUUUUCUAACUAACUCCCAAAGGUCUGAAACAUGUUCCUUAAAAAAUAUUGGACAGUUAUUUUGACCCUAACGCCAAAAACCUUAAACCUAACCCUGGCCCCAAAACCACCCGGGUAUUACCUUCAGGAAGCCCGAACACCCCAAAUAUUUUUUUUUCAUUUAUCUUUUUUUUUUUUGUCUAACUUUAUCCCAAAGGUUGGAAAAGAAUUCCUACAAUGGUUUUGGACAGUGAUUUUUACCCUCACGCCCAAAAACCUUAAACCUUACCCUAGCCCCAUAACCUAAUACCCGGGUAUUACCUUCAGGAAGCCCGAAGACCCCAAAUAUAUAUUUUUAUUUUCAUUUUUUUUUUCGUCUAACUAACUCCAAAAGGUCUGAAACAUGUUCCUUAAAAAAUAUUGGAGAGUGAUUUUAACCCUUACGCCAAAAACCUUAAACCUAAUCCUAGCCCCAUAACCAAAUACUUAAACCUGAAGGGUAUUACCUUCAGGAAGCCCGAACACCCCAAAUAUUUUUUUUGUCAUUUUACAUUUUUUUUUUGGUGUAACCAACUCCAAAAGGUCUUAAACAUGUUCCUUAAAAGGGUUUGGACAGUGAUUUUAACCCUAACGCCAAAAACCUUAAACCUUACCCUAGCCCCAAAACCUAAUACCUUCAGGAAGCCCGAAAACCCCAAAUAUUUUUUUUCUUUUUUCUUUUUUUUUUGGUCUAACUAACUCCAAAAGGUCUGAAACAUGUUCCUUAAAAAAUAUUGGACAGUGAUUUUAACCCUAACGCAAAAAACCUUAAACCUAAUCCUAGCCCCAAAACCUAAUACCCGGGUAUUACCUUCAGGAAGCCCGAACACCCCAAAUAUUUUUUUUUCAUUUAGCUUUUUUUUUUUGUCUAACUUAAUCCCAAAGGUUGGAAAAGAGUUCCUACAAAGGUUUUGGACAGUGAUUUUUACCCUCACGCCCAAAAACCUUAAACCUUACCCUAGCCCCAUAACCUAAUACCCGGGUAUUACCUUCAGGAAGCCCGAACACCCCAAAUAUAUAUAUAUAUUUUCUUUUUUUUUUGUCUAACUAACUCCAAAAGGUCUGAAACAUGUUCCUUAAAAAAUAUUGGACAGUGAUUUUAACCCUGACGCCAAAAACCUUAAACCUAAUCCUAGCCCCAUAACCUAAUACUUAAACCUGAAGGGUAUUACCUUCAGGAAGCCCGAACACCCCAAAUAUUUUUUUUGUCAUUUUACAUUUUUUUUGGUGUAACCAACUCCAAAAGGUCUGAAUCUCUUUCCUUAAACGGUUUUGGACAGUGAUUUUAACCCUAACGCCAAAAACCUUAAACCUUACCCUAGCCCCAAAACCUAAUACCUUCAGGAAGCCCGAAAACCCCAAAUAUUUUUUUCCUUUUUCUUUUUUUUGGUCUAACUAACUCCAAAAGGUCUGAAACAUGUUCCUUAAAAAAUAUUGGACAGUGAUUUUAACCCUCACGCCAAAAACCUUAAACCUAAUCCUAGCCCCAAAACCUAAUACCCGGGUAUUACCUUCAGGAAGCCCGAACACCCCAAAUAUUUAUUUUUCAUUUUUUUAUUGGUCUAACUAACUCCAAAAGGUUGGAAAAGACUUCCUACAAAGGUUUUGGACAGUGAUUUUAACCCUCACGCCAAAAACCUUAAACCUUACCCUAGCCCCAUAACCUAGGGUAAAGCCCCUUUACCUAAUACCCGGGUAUUACCUUCAGGAAGCCCGAACACCCCAAAUACUUUUUUUUCAUUUAUCUUUUUUUUUGUCUAACUAACUCCAAAAGGUUGGAAAAGACUUCCUACAAAAGACUAACUCCAAAAGGUUGGAAAAGACUUCCUACAAAGGUAAUACAAAGUAUUACCUUCAGGAAGCCCGAACACCCCAAAUAUAUAUAUAUUUUUUUCUUUUUUUUUUGGUCAAACUAGCUCCAAAAAGUCUGAAACAUGUUCCUUAAAAAUAUUGGACAGUGAUUUUAACCCUAACGCCAAAAACAUUAAACCUAAUCCUAGCCCCAUAACCUAAUAAUUAAACCUGAAGGGUAUUACCUUCAGGAAGCCCGAACACCCCAAAUAUUUUUUUUUCAUUUAUCUUUUUUUUUUUUUGUCUAACUAACUCCAAAAGGUCUGAAAAGAGUUCCUACAAAGGUUUUGGACGGUGAUUUUAACCCUUAAACCUUACCCUAGCCCCAUAACCUAAUACCCGGGUAUUACCUUCAGAAGCCCAAAAACCCCCCAAAUUUUUUUUUUAUUUUUCGUUAGUUUUUGCUCUAACUAACUCCAACCUUACCUUCAGGAAGCCCGAACACCCCCAAAAAUUUUUUUUUCAUAUUACAUUUUUUUUGGUGUAACCAACUCCAAAAGGUCUGAAACAUGUUCCUAAAAAGGUUUUGGACAGUGAUUUUAACCCUUACGCCAAAAACCUUAAACCUUACCCUAGCCCCAUAACCUAAUACCCGGGUAUUACCUUCAGGAAGCCCGAACACCCCAAAUAUUUUUUUUUCAUUUAUCUUUCUUUUUUUUGUCUACCUAACUCCAAAAGUUUGGAAAAGACUUCCUACAAAGGUUUUGGACAGUGAUUUUAACCCUAACACCAAAAACCUUAAACCUUACCCUAGCCCCAAAACCUAAUACCUGGGUAUUACCUUCAGGAAGCUUGAACACCCCAAAUAUUUUUUUUUCAUUUUACAUUUUUUUUGGUGUUACCAACUCCAAAAGGUCUUAAACAUGUUCCUAAAAAGGUUUUGGACAGUGAUUUUAAACCUAACGCCAAAAACCUUAAACCUUACCCUAGCCCCAUAACCUAAUACCUGGGUAUUUCCUUCAGGAAGCCCGAAGACCCCAAAUAUAUUUUUUCAUUUUUUUUUUUUUUUUGGUCUAACUAACUCCAAAAGGUCUGAAAAGAGUUCCUACAAAGGUUUUGGACGGUGAUUUUAACCCUUAAACCUUACCCUAGCCCCAUAACCUAAUACCCGGGUAUUACCUUCAGAAGCCCAAAAACCCCAAAUAUAUAUUUUUUAUUUUCCGUUAGUUUUUGCUCUAACUAACUCCAAAAGGUUGGAAAAGACUUCCUACAAAGGUUUUGGACAGUGAUUUUAACCCUAACGCCAAAAACCUUAAACCUUACUAUAGCCCCAUAACCUAAUACCCGGGUAUUACCUUCAGGAAGCUUGAACACCCCAAAUAUUUUUUUUUCAUUUUACAUUUUUUUUGGUGUAACCUACUCCAAAAGGUCUGAAACAUGUUCCUAAAAAGGUUUUGGACAUUGAUUUUAACCCUAACGCCAAAAACCUUAAACCUAAUCCAAGCCCCAUAAACUAAUACCUGGGUAUUUCCUUCAGGAAGCCCGAAGACCCCAAAUAUAUUUUUUUCUUUUUUCUUUUUUUUUGGUCUAACUAACUCCAAAAGGUUGGAAAAGAGUUCCUACAAAGGUUUUGGACAGUGAUUUUAACCCUAACACCAAAAACAUUAAACCUUACCCUAGCCCCAAAACCUAAUACCCAGGUAUUACCUUCUGGAAGCCCGAACACCCCAAAUAUUUUUUUUUUCAUUUUACAUUUUUUUUUGGUGUAACCAACUCCAAAAGGUCUUAAACAUGUUCCUAAAAAGGUUUUGGACACUGAUUUUAACUCUAACGCCAAAAACCUUAAACCUUACCCUAGCCCCAUAACCUAAUACCUGGGUAUUACCUUCAGGAAACCCGAACACCCCAAAUAUUUUUUUUUUCUUUUUCUUUUUUUUUUGUCUAACUAACUCCCAAAGGUCUGAAACAUGUUCCUUAAAAAAUAUUGGACAGUUAUUUUAACCCUAACGCCAAAAACCUUAAACCUAACCCUAGCCCCAAAACCUAAUACCCGGGUAUUACCUUCAGGAAGCCCGAACACCCCAAAUAUAUAUUUUUUAUUUUUCUUUAUUUUUGGUCUUACUUGCUCUCAAAGGUUGGAAAAGAGUUCCUACAAAGGUUUUGGACAUUGAUUUUAACCCUAACGCCAAAAACCUUAAACAUUACCCUAGCCCAGAAACCUAGUAUUACCUUCAGGAAGCCCGAACACCCAAAAAAAUUUUUUUUUCAUUUUACAUUUUUUUUGGUGUAACCAACUCCAAAAGGUCUGAAACAUGUUCCUAAAAAGGUUUUGGACAGUGAUUUUAACCCUUACGCCAAAAACCUUAAACCUUACCCUAGCCCCAUAACCUAAUACCCGGGUAUUACCUUCAGGAAGCCCGAACACCCCAAAUAUUUUUUUUUCAUUUAUCUUUUUUUUUUUGUCUAACUAACUCCAAAAGGUUGGAAAAGACUUCCUACAAAGGUUUUUGACAGUGAUUUUAAGCCUCACGCCAAAAACCUUAAACCUUAACCUAGCCCCAUAACCUAAUACCCGGCUAUUACCUUCAGGAAGCCCGAACGACCCAAAUAUAUAUUUUUUCUUUUUCUUUUUUUUUUUGGUCAAACUAGCUCCAAAAGGUCUGAAACAUGUUCCUUAAAAAAUAUUGGACAGUGAUUUUAACCCUUACGCCAAAAACCUUAAACCUAAUCCAAGCCCCAUAACCUAAUACUUAAACCUGAAGGGUAUUACCUUCAGGAAGCCCGAACAACCUAAAUAUUUUUUUUUUCAUUUUACAUUUUUUUUUGGUGUAACCAACUCCAAAAGGUCUGAAUCUUGUUUCUUAAAAGGUUUUGGACAGUGAUUUUAACUCUAACACCAAAAACCUUAAACCUUACCCUAGCCCCAAAACCUAAUACCUUCAGGAAGCCCGAAAACCCCAAAUAUUUUUUUUUCUUUUUCCUUUUUUUUUGGUCUAACUAACUCCAAAAGGUCUGAAACAUGUUCCUUAAAAAAUAUUGGACAGUGAUUUUAACCCUAACGCCAAAAACCUUAAACCUUACCCUAGCCCCAAAACCUAAUACCUUCAGGAAGCCCGAAAACCCCAAAUAUUUUUUUCCUUUUUCUUUUUUUUUGGUCUAACUAACUCCAAAAGGUCUGAAACAUGUUCCUUAAAAAAUAUUGGACAGUGAUUUUAACCCUCACGCCAAAAACCUUAAACCUAAUCCUAGCCCCAAAACCUAAUACCCGGGUAUUACCUUCAGGAAGCCCGAACACCCCAAAUAUUUAUUUUUCAUUUUUUUAUUGGUCUAACUAACUCCAAAAGGUUGGAAAAGACUUCCUACAAAGGUUUUGGACAGUGAUUUUAACCCUCACGCCAAAAACCUUAAACCUUACCCUAGCCCCAUAACCUAGGGUAAAGCCCCUUUACCUAAUACCCGGGUAUUACCUUCAGGAAGCCCGAACACCCCAAAUACUUUUUUUUCAUUUAUCUUUUUUUUUGUCUAACUAACUCCAAAAGGUUGGAAAAGACUUCCUACAAAAGACUAACUCCAAAAGGUUGGAAAAGACUUCCUACAAAUGUAAUACAAAGUAUUACCUUCAGGAAGCCCGAACACCCCAAAUAUAUAUAUAUUUUUUUCUUUUUUUUUUGGUCAAACUAGCUCCAAAAAGUCUGAAACAUGUUCCUUAAAAAUAUUGGACAGUGAUUUUAACCCUAACGCCAAAAACAUUAAACCUAAUCCUAGCCCCAUAACCUAAUAAUUAAACCUGAAGGGUAUUACCUUCAGGAAGCCCGAACACCCCAAAUAUUUUUUUUUCAUUUAUCUUUUUUUUUUUUUGUCUAACUAACUCCAAAAGGUCUGAAAAGAGUUCCUACAAAGGUUUUGGACGGUGAUUUUAACCCUUAAACCUUACCCUAGCCC